rnacentral:rRNA from 1 species
UACGGGGGGAGCAAGCGUUGUUCGGAUUUACUGGGCGUAAAGGGCGCGUAGGCGGUCAGCACAAGUCAGUUGUGAAAUCUCCGGGCUUAACUCGGAAAGGUCAACUGAUACUGUGCGACUAGAGUGCAGAAGGGGCAACUGGAAUUCUCGGUGUAGCGGUGAAAUGCGUAGAUAUCGGGAGGAACACCUGUGGCGAAGGCGGCUUUCUGGCCUGUUCUUGACGCUGAGGCGCGAAAGCCCAGGGGGAGCAAAACGGG